CAGCGGAGGAAAAGAAACCAAAAGGGAUUCCCCGAGUAACGGCGAGUGAAAAGGGACCAGCCCAGCGCAAAGGCCGCUCGCCCUAACGGGUGCUGCGUGCGAUGCUGCGUUAAUGCCGGGGCGACCGCCUCACCGGCGACUGUGCGUGCAAGUUCCUUUGAAUAGGACCAAUUUAACCCAUAGUGGGUGGAAGGCCCAUAGCGCGUCGCGGUCGCCGAGAGCUAGCCUCGGCAUGGUAGAGUCACGUUGCUUGAGAGUGCAGCGUAAAGACGCGAGGUAAACUCCUCGUAAGGCUAAAUAAGACUGCGAGACCGAUAGCAAACAAGUACCGUGAGGGAAAGUUGCAAAGAACUUUGAAGAGAGAGUUCAAAAGGACGUGAAACCGCUUGCGGGUAAACGGGUGGAGCCACGAAGUCAGAACGGCGCGGAGAUUCAGCCGCUGGCCUGGUGUAGUUGGUGAGCGUGGGGGCCUUCGGGUCACUCGCUCGCCGGCGCUUGAUGCCGGGCCGGCGGUGCACUUCUCGCGGUGCCGGGACGAUGCUCUGACCGAUUGGAACGCUGCGGCAGCUGUAACGGGAGUCCAGCGGGCAGGUAGCGACAACGGGCCCUCGGGCCUGGCGUCGUGAUAUAGCCCGCUGCUCGGAACUAGCCGCAGAUCGCCGAUCGGAGUAAGUCGCCUUWGGGCGUUGCAGACGGGGUGGCAGGGGGCUGCGCGGUGGCUGUGUUGACUGUGCGAUGUCACGGCGCUUUCGGGCGUUGUGCGCGUGCUUUCUGAUCGGCCAGUCCGCGCGGCGCCCUUGCCGCUCUGAGCAAUCGAGAG
rnacentral:rRNA from 1 species